UAGAUCUCGUGCCGUCGUGCGA
rnacentral:siRNA from 1 species